rnacentral:lncRNA from 1 species
UUCAAAUUAACAACAGGGUGUAAGGGAGCUGACCGAGUAAGGCUUGGCAACAGGCCAAAAGGAAGUUGCCCUGCUAGCUGGCAUAUACUGAUCUUUUGCGUUGGAUAAGUGCAGCUAAGCCUAAGGGCUUUGUUUACGGCCGCGCCUGAAUGCAUAUCAAGUCACUGCAAGUGGCUGAAACGAAGGUAAUUCAAGUGCACUCCAGAAUCCCGGCAGGGAUGCUGUAUAGUACAUUGUGCACAUUGUUAUGGAGUAAUAUACUAUGCAGCAUUUCAGAGGGGAUUCGGGAGUCCACAUGGCAUAUAAUUGUCACUUUUUAGAAAGGAACAAAACAUGAACACAUAGCCAGCAUAUGACCAUUGGGAACAUGACUGAAUUUACAUAUAUGAGUGGCAAUUCAUGAUCCGUCAUGCUGCGCAAGGAGAAUGACAACUGUCAUGACCAUGACUCUGCCUCAUGACCGGUAACAUGACCGGUCAUGAGGCCUCAACGUUGGUGAUGUUCUUCUUCAUGAACAACAUCCCCUUCAAUGUCGUUCAGAAUCCGUACUUCUUGGACUUCGUGACAACACUGAAGUCCACAUACAUGCCCCCAGGUAAGACGUACGUGCCCCCUAGUCACACGGUUUGGAGGGAGUUUCACCCCCUACUUAAACCAUGUUUGCCGCAGGGAGAGAGGCCAUUGGUUCGCGUGCUCCCGGGCAUCAAUGAGCACGGUUGAGGCAUUGCUGCGGACCACUUUCCCCUGGUUCGACUGGACCAAGCAGCCGCUGGAGCUCAACCCUGGCCAGAAGGCGAUGUCGUUCGCCGUGGGGGAGUGAGGAGGCUUUAGGGGGGUGUGGUCUGUCGUCUGUGGUGUUGGCCUGACACCCAAGCUAUCUCUAUUUGGGCUGUAGUAUUUGUGAUAAUCACGGUUUGUUAGGAAUGCUAGAAUGCAGACGCGAAUGUGUGCGCACAUGGCUCGAUGGCUGUCCAGGUCUGGCUGUUGCCCAAAUUCAUAUUUUAUCUUGUGAGAGAUCGUUUUCCAAACACUAAAGCAAUACGCCUUUCAUUGUAAAAGCGAAAAACAUGAAUUCCAUGACGGAAUAGCGCAAAAGGAAUACACCACGAGUAUUGUAAUACGGCAUGGCGUGAACCCCGGUGUAUUGAUACGCCAUACGCCUGGCGUAUUAAUUUGAGGUACCAUUAUUACGCCAGACGGCCAAAACGAAUACGGUCGCAUCCCUGAUGCUGCGCAAGGAGAAUGACAACUGUCAUGACCAUGACUCUGCCUCAUGACCGGUAACAUGACCGGUCAUGAGGCCUCAUGAGUGGUCAUGAGGCAACAUGACCAGAUCUAUGACAGGAAACCCCCAGCAUGACCACAUCCAUGACCAAGUCGUUCCCCGAGUGGUUGGUGAUGUUCUUCUUCAUGAUCAACAUCCCCUUCAAUGUCGUUCAGAAUCCGUACUUCUUGGACUUCGUGACAACGCUGAAGUCCACAUACAUGCCCCCAGGUAAGACGUACGUGCCCCCUAGUCACACGGUUUGGAGGGAGUUUCACCCCCUACUUAAACCAUGUUUGCCGCAGGGAGAGAGGCCAUUGGUUCGCGUGCUCCCGGGCAUCAAUGAGCACGGUUGAGGCAUUGCUGCGGACCACUUUCCCCUGGUUCGACUGGACCAAGCAGCCGCUGGAGCUCAACCCUGGCCAGAAGGCGAUGUCGUUCGCCGUGGGGGAGUGAGGAGGCUUUAGGGGGGUGUGGUCUGUCGUCUGUGGUGUUGGCCUGACACCCAAGCUAUCUCUAUUUGGGCUGUAGUAUUUGUGAUAAUCACGGUUUGUUAGGAAUGCUAGAAUGCAGACGCGAAUGUGUGCGCACAUGGCUCGAUGGCUGUCCAG